rnacentral:sRNA from 1 species
UUCCAGACAUGUCCUUCCAACCCAGUGUUCCCGUCCUUUUUCAGCUACGCUUCUUGUUCCCUGUCUCAUCUCCUUUUUUCCCAUCACUCCCCAAGUCCCUGUGGUCUGGCUGACACUGUUCUGGUCACAUUCUACUGGCUAAAUCCAACAGAGUUUUUUCAGUCUUUAUUUUGUUUGACACGUAACCUAGCUGGCUCUUCAUCCCUUCCCAAAACUUCCCUUUUGACUUCUGUGUCCUUUAAUCUUUGUGUUUUCCUCUGAUCUCUCUGACCGUUCCUUUUUAGCCUUUUUAGCUGGUUCCUCUUCCCUGCCUAUUCAUCAGUGUUGUUCCCUGACGUCUCAUUCUUGAUGCUCUUCUCACACUGCUAAGAUUUAUCUGGUCUAAAAGCUUUAGCUAUUACCUAUAAAGCUUCUGCAUCUUUUUCAUCUCCAGCACCAUCAUCUCCUAAAGUCCAGACAUACAGUAAACUAGAAGCAGUUCUAAAAUUCCACUUUAUCUUUGCCCCCUUGCCUGAUGUCAUUUGUCCUUUCCAGAUCUGCCCCCCCUUUCCUCAUUCAGAGGCCUGUGAUGUCUGGAGUUCCUCCUUUUCCUCACAUCUAGCCACUCACCAGGGCUUGUCAGUCCCACUUUCAAAAUACCUCUUGGUUCCAUCUUUCCUGCCCUGGCUCUGGCCCUCACCAUGUUUUGCCUCAGUUGCUGCAAUGGUUUCUUAACCUGUCUUCUCACUGCUAGCCACUCCCCAUCCCACACUUACCCCCACCCCCACAUCACUCCAUCUUUUACACUGAAGCCAGAGUGAUAGCUGUAAAGCAUGGGUCUGAUCAUGUCUCUUACCUGGAUCGAAAUCCUUCAGCUGCCCCCUGUUGCUCUCAGAAUAAAUGGCCAACCCUUAGCCUGACACUGAAGCCUUUCGUGAUCUGUCUCCUGCCUGCCUCUCCAACCCUGCCUCUUGCCAUUCCUCUGAUUGCAUCCUCUGCCCAGCCAGUGAGUGGAGGGGUCCUGGUCACAGCACUGUCAGGCAUCCCUGUCUCUGUUUGGGUUGCACCCUCUUCCAGGACUGCCUUCCCACCAUUUGUUGACUGUUUCUUCAUUGCUCAGUGUGUCAGUCCGUUUGCAUUGCUAUAAAGGAAUUCCUGAGACUGGGUAAUUUAUAAAGAAAAUAGGUUUAUUUUGGCUUACGGUUCUGCAGGCUGUACGGGAAGCAUGGUGCCAAUAUCUGCUUCUGGUGAGGGCUUCAGGAAGCUUAGAAUCAUGGUGGAAGGCAAAGGGGAGCCAGCGUGUUACAUGGCAAGAGAGGGAGAGAGAGAAAGAGGAGGAGAUAGCAGGCUCCUUUUAAACAGCCAGCUCUCAUGUGAACUAACAGCAAGAACUCACUCAUUACCAUGGGGAGGGCACCAAGGCCAUUCAUGAGGAAUUUGCCCCCAUAACUCAAUCACAUCCCGUUAGACCCUACCUCCAGCAUUGGAAAUCACAUUUCAACAUGAGAUUUGGAGGGGACAAAUAUCCAAACUACAUCCCUCAGUAACUCAACUCAGGCACCAGCCUCCACACAGCCUUUCCUGCCACCACAGGCCGUAAAGUACCCAUCCUAGCUCUUCCUUUGCCCCCAUAAGAGUAAAAAUACAAUAUUUAACUCUUUUUCCUAUUUUUUGUGUUUAACAGACAUUUAUGGAGGAGAUGACUCGCAAACAGCCUGACGUGGACCGGGUCACCAAGACAUACAAAAGGAAAAACAUAGAGCCUACUCACGCGCCUUUCAUAGAGAAAUCCCGCAGCGGAGGCAGUAUGUUUCCAGCCCCCUGUGUUAGGAUGCUUCAUUCCUGCUAAUUGAGGAUGAGCACUUUCCAAAUGCCUGUCAAAAAAAAUUAUAUUCCAUUUUCAAAAACCGUGUUGGUUUUGAACCAAAAUCUCUCAUUUUUGAAACUCACUUUUCUUACAUUGACAGACAGUAGCUGUACUCCAUAUUCUUUGGUAUGAUUGGUAUGAAAUUACGAGGUGGUUAAGCUUAUUUUUUAACAGUGGCCUUUCCAUUGUUUUGGUUAUCAGCCCUAGCUGUUUACAUUUGGCUUGCACUAAUUUAAUCAACACAACAGCUCCUACAGAAUAUGUUGCUUUUUUAGUUGAGUUAACGUGUCAUCAGCUCACUAGGUUUGGACAGAAUUGCUUGGAGAUAUGUAGGCAGCAGGUAAGUAUGUGCUGGGAGGAUCAGUACUUUUGGAAUUAGUACACCUCCGUAUCUAAAUAUUGCCAAGUCCCGUAUUUCUUUUCUCAGUUAUUGACUGGAUAUUAUUAUAAAGAUCUUCUAGGUUUAUACAUACAGCUGUUUCUCUUUGUAUACUAACCAGCUGUUCUAAUCUCGUGAUUAUUUUUCCUUUUAGGGAAAUCCCUAAGUCAGCCAACCCCUCCUCCCAUGCCAAUCCUUUCACAGUCUGAAGCAAAAAACCCACGGAUCAACCAGCUUUCUGCCCGCUGGCAGCAGGUGUGGCUGUUAGCACUGGAGCGGCAAAGGAAACUGAAUGAUGCCUUGGAUCGGCUGGAGGAGUUGAAAGAAUUUGCCAACUUUGACUUUGAUGUCUGGAGGAAAAAGUAUAUGCGUUGGAUGAAUCACAAAAAGUCUCGAGUGAUGGAUUUCUUCCGGCGCAUUGAUAAGGACCAGGAUGGGAAGAUAACACGUCAGGAGUUUAUCGAUGGCAUUUUAGCAUCCAAGUUCCCCACCACCAAGUUAGAGAUGACUGCUGUGGCUGACAUUUUCGACCGAGAUGGGGAUGGUUACAUUGAUUAUUAUGAAUUUGUGGCUGCUCUUCAUCCCAACAAGGAUGCGUAUCGACCAACAACCGAUGCAGAUAAAAUCGAAGAUGAGGUUACAAGACAAGUGGCUCAGUGCAAAUGUGCAAAAAGGUUUCAGGUGGAGCAGAUCGGAGAGAAUAAAUACCGGGUAAGGAAGAGAAAAAGCAGUCCUUUGUUAUGGUGGUUUCUCAUAUGUGGCUGAUCCCACCUUUUCCUCCUGAUGCUUAGAGGCCCAGAGCCCAUCGGACUUGAGAUGUGGUCACUCUCUGACCUCAUCUCUAUAGAUGCCAAGAGUCAGGUACCCUGUUACAUCUGAAAACUAGUCCCAUAUCUACCUAGAUAGUAGUAGUUUGUAUUUAAGUUUUAAGAUAGGAGAUAUUUCAGAGCUGUCACUUCACAUCUGACAAAGUUCCUAGGGGGAUGAAGGUACCUUUGGAAACAAUUAUAUCUAUUGACUGACCACUUGCCCACAAAGAGAUGGUCAUUGUGAGCCUGAGUGGCUCCCAGGCUAGAGAGGCCUGGGGAAACUGUGUUGAAGCCCCAACAGACACUGUGCCUGCUCUGAGCUGGGCUACAAAUGGGGCCCAGGAGCACUGAGGAGACAUCAGGCUCAGUGGUCUUCCCUGGAAAGCCAUGCUAGGUGUGGCCAUAACUGACAGUGAACUAUACUUGUGUUUUAGCUUCUUUUGGGACCAGGGUCAGGGACAUAGAAGGAUCUGAAACAGGUCUCCUAAAAUAUAUCAACAGCUCAUCAAGAUUCUCUAAAGUCCUAAGAAAAAUCUAUGAUUGGCAAAGAGGAUUUAGAUUGCACUAAGAAACACAGGAAGGUCCAUGUUUCAUUAGUAUAUCCAAAAUGUCCUCAAAGUACACCAAAUCUACCCCAUGCUGCGGUCUCCUGAGGAGUGCUGGGUGAAUCUGCUUUGAAUAUAACCUAGGGCAUUUAGUUAAUAAAGCUCUGUAUAAUCUUAUGCCUGCUUGUUGGGUUUUGUUUUCUUGUUUUUUGUUUUUAAUUAUCUAUGAGAGAAAUGAAUUAACAAGAACAACAUAGCAUGGAGAGUUAGUUCAUAGUUUAUAAAACCACAUCCCUGGCCGGGCCUGGUGGCUCACACCUGUAAUCCCAGAAUUUUGGAAGGUAGAGAGGCGAGCGAGCGGAUCACUUGAGGUCAGGAAUUCGAGACCAACCUGGCCAACAUGGUGAAACACCCUCUCUACUAAUAACACAAAAAUUAGCUGGGCUUGGUAGCGCAUGCCUGUAAUCCCAACUACUAGGGAGGCUGAGGCAGGAGAAUUGCUUGAACGCCGGGCUCGGAGGUUGCAGUGAGCCAUGAUCGCGCCACUGCACUCCAGCCUGGGCAACAGAGCGAGACUCUC